rnacentral:lncRNA from 1 species
CUUUUCUCCCGGCCGACGGAGCUGAAGGGGCGGGGGUUCCUUCCUUGGAGUGUUUCUAGAGCUCGGAGGCUGCUGGUAGGGGGGCACCACUUUCAGAUAAAAACAUAGACCUGAAUGGCAUCAUCCAGUAUCCAAGGAAACCAUAUUUUUUACAGACAAUGGGAAGCACUGACACCUUUAAGAGGGAUGUGUAAUACACUCGCUAAUGUUUCCUGUUGUGUUUCUGAAAACCUGUGUCAGAAAAUAUACUGUCUCGAACUGGAAAGAUGUGAGAUUCUUAAUUUUAAAGAGCUCCAUUAAUAUUGGUUCUCUAAACAUGAAUAUGCCUUUGGGGGAAGACAGAAGAACAUGGAAGCCAUGUGAAAAAAACGGAUCCUAAGAAGCAUUGAAAAGAACAACUUUCAAGUCAAAAGAAUCAAGGUGAAGAGAAUGGAUACUCAUGCCCAUGUGAAUUUGCUGCCCCAAGUCUACUGGAGGAUCAAGCUGCAGGUUUCAAUAGCUAUAGCCUGAAGAAUCUCUGUAAUGAACUAAAACAAUCAGUAAAAGAUCAGUUGCAGUGGAAGACAUUAUACUCUAGAUUUUUCUAGUAUUAUUAAAUUUGAAAAUGAUUUAUUCCAAAUUUUAACUUAGCUUUUAAUUUUACUAGUGUCAAAAUGUUGUACUACUUUGGACAACUGAUUUUUCCAAUAGAGAGUCAAUAGCAUCUUUGCAGGGUGGUUUAAAAGCCAAUAAUUUAAUCCAUAUUCUACUAAAACUUUUAAUAUAAGCAUUUUACCCAGAUGUAUUUUUUCCUUGUUUUAGAAAAUCUGAUUUUAAUUGCUAAAACUCGUUUUUAAAUAUUAAUUCAAUGAAAGAAAUGCUAUGGUUUUCUACUUUUUCAUUUCUUAAACUCAAGGGAAAACAUGGGUGAAAAACAAAAAAUUGUUCUGCAUAGAGUCUUCUUUAAUGUCUCACUUUGGUGAUGUAUGAAAUAAAAACCAAAUUGUUUUAACCAGCU